UGGGCCAAGAGUGACGGGCGAUUUGUGCAUACUUGAUUUCUCCUUCUAAAUAUAUUUUUUUUUCACAAAUUUAAUAUCAAGUCCUAUUUUUAUCUAUUUUUAAUUAGAUGGCUAUAAUUUUUAUUUUUGUAUCCCACUUAACUCUUAGUUAUUAACUCUGUCUCGAUUUGUUUUCUCCCCGAGAGGGGCCUUAAUUUUCUUUUAGAAUAAAAUUUUUAAACAAUGAUAUAGAAAUUUAUAAUCUAAGCUUUUUUCAAUCGUGGGCUAUCUAUUACGGAGCAGGAUCCCCUGCAUAGCUCUAGUACCGCCAUUUAACAUAGGUUUGGUUUCUUUAACUACUCGCAUAUCUUUUUAUAAAA
rnacentral:rRNA from 1 species